rnacentral:rRNA from 1 species
UUUCGCAAUGCCCGAAAGGGUGACGAAGCGACGCCGCGUGAGUGAGGAAGGCCUUCGGGUUGUAAAGCUCUGUCAGGAGUUAAGAAAUAUAAGUGUGCUAAUACCUCAUUUAUUUGACAAAGGCCCCAAAGGAAGUCACGGCUAACUCUGUGCCAGCAGCCGCGGUAAUACAGAGGUGGCAAGCGUUGUUCGGUAUUAUUGGGCGUAAAGAGCACGUAGGUGGUUUUGUAAGUCAGGUGUGAAAGCCUUCUGUUCAAAGGAAGAACGGCAUCUGAAACUGCAGAUCUUGAGUGUAGGAGGGGAGAGUGGAACUUCUGGUGGAGCGGUGAAAUGCGUAGAUAUCAGAAGGAACGCCGGCGGCGAAAGCGAUUCUCUGGCCUAUUACUGACACUCAGUGUGCGAAAGCUAGGGGAGCAAACGGGAUUAGAUACCCCGGUAGUCCUAGCCGUAAACGAUGGGCACUAAGUAGAGGGGUUUUA